rnacentral:rRNA from 1 species
GCGACCUCAUCUUAAGCAAGAACACCCGGUGAGUUUAAGCAUAUAAUUAAGUGGAGGAAAAGAAACUUACAAGGAUUCCCCUAAUAUCAGCGAGCGACUCGGGAAGAUCCCAGAAUGAAAAUCGAGCGAGAGCGUCACCUAUAUUGUAGUCUGUAGAAGUAUCCUUAGCAGUGGAUCUGAAUCAAGUCCCUUGGAAGGGAUCACCUAAGAAUGCAACAACCCCGUCAAGUUAGGAUGCUGCCACAUCAUGAAGCGUUAUCGGUGAGUCGGGUCGUUUGGGAAUGGAGCCCUAAUUGGGUGGUAAAUUUCAUCCAGGGAUAAAUACGGGCGAGAGAUUGAUAUAGAACAAGUACCAUAAGGGAAAUAUGAAAAGGAAUUUGAAAAGAGUGUUAAAGAGUGCUUGAAAUUUCUAGGAGGGAAGUGGAUGGAGGUUAUUGAUGUGUCUUGGUUAGAUGUGGAACAACUCAGGAUGGUUUGUUGCUCAACUUGAGGUGCAAACCAACAUUGGUUGUUGUGUCGUCACAAGGGUGGGUGGAUUACUACCUAUCAGUUUGUCGUUGUAGUGGUCGAGGAAUGAAGCAUGCACCCUUGUGGCAGGCCUUGUGCACCUAUGUGCUUGUGGUGUUAUUUAGCGUGCUUUCCAUUUGACCCAUCUUGAAACAUAAACCAAGAAGUCUAACAUGUGUGCGAGUCAGCCUUGAGCUUACGCGAAGGGUUUGAGUGCGAGAAAAUCUGUUGAGACUCGAAAGAUGGUGAACUAUGCCUGAGCAUGGAAAAGCCAAAGGAAACUCUAGUGGAGGCUCGUAGCAAUAAUGACAUGCAAAUCAUUUGUCUUACUUGGGUAUAGGGGUAAAAGACUAAUUAAACCAUCUCGUAGCUAGUUUCCUUUGAAGUUUCCCUUAGGAUAGCUGGAGCUCAUGUGUGAGUUUUAUUGGGUAAAGAAAAUGAUUAGAGGCAUCGGGGGCAUAACUCCCUCAACCAAUUCUCAAACUUUAAAUAGGUAAGAGGGUGUCGUUGAUCCAUUGAGUUGUGCCAUGGAAUCGAGAGCUCCAAGUGCGCCAUUUUUGGUAACUAGAACUAGCGAUGCAAGAUGAACCAAAAUUCAAGCUAUGGUGUCAAAUUGCAUGCUAACAUAGAUCCCACAAAGGGUGUUAGUUGAUUAAGACAGUAGGACAGUGGUCAUGGAAAUUGAAAUCCACUAAGCAGUGUGUAACAGCUCACCUGUUGAAUCAAAUAGCCCCAAAAAUGGAUGGUGCUAAAGUGCACAACUUAUACUUAACCGUCAGAGAAAUUGCUUACCUUCGAUGAGUUUGAAGAUGCUAGGGUCAUUGAGAAAACUGAGGUGUGAGCUUGGGUGGAUUGGCCCCCAGUGUAGAUAUUGGUGGUAGUAGAAAAUAUUCAAAUGAGAACUUUGAAGAUUGAAGUGGGGAAAUGUUCCAUGUGAUCAACACUUGGACAUGGGUUAGUCGAUCUGAAGAGAUGGGGAAGCCUUGUAUCAAGGGUGAACUGUGCACGACCAUUGAAAGGGAAUCAGUUUAAUAUUCCCGAACCAGGACAUGGUAGCAGGCAACAACGUUAGGAAAUCUGGAGACAUCGUCGGGGGCCCCGGGAAGAGUUAUCUUUUCUUUCUAAAAACUUGCCCACCCUCGAAUAGGUUAACCUGGAGACAGGGUCCAAUAGCUAGAAGAGCACCCUACGUCUUUAGGUGUUUGGUGCACCCUUGGUGGCCCUUGCAAAUAUGGAGGACCAAGUACCAUUGGUGCCCUGUUGUACUCAAACCGCAUCAAGUCUCCAAGGUGAACAACCUCUAGUCAAUAGAAUAAUUUAGGUAAGGGAAGUCAUAAAAAUGGAUCUGUAACUUCGAGAAAAGGAUUAGCUCUAAGGGUUGGGCCUAAGGGUCUGCGCCCUCAACUCGUGGGCUGUCAGUAGUCUACCUGAGCUACUCUUACAGUGAGGGUAGGGAGUCGCAUGCCAAUUGUGCUAUGGGCAUAGAAUGCCCCCUACUGGGGGCUUUUCCCUAGGCAACAAACAAUCAACUUAGAACUGGUACAGACAAGGGGAAUCUAACUCUUUAAUUAAAAAAAAGCAUUGUCAUGGUUCCUGCGAAUGCUAAUUCAAUAUGAUUUUUGGCCAGUGCUAUCAAUGUCAAGUGAAGAAAUUCAACCAAUCCUGGGUAAAUGACAGGAAUAACUAUGACUGUCUUAAGGUAGCCAAAUUCCUCAUAAUCUAAUUAGUGAUGUGCAUGAAUGGAUUAACAAUAUUCCCACUGUCCCUAUCUACUAUCUAGAGAAACCACAACCAAGGGAAUGGGCUUGGAAAAAUCAGCAGGGAAAGAAUACCAUGUUGAGCUUGACUCUAGUCCAACAUUGUGAAGUGACUUGAGAGGUGUAGAAUAAGUGGGAGUCGUUUUCAGUGCAAGUGAGAUACCACUAAUUUUAACGUUAUUUUACUUAUUCCGUGGGGUAGAGAUGGCACACUGCCCCUGUUUUUUGCCUUAACACAUGUUUCGGUGGGUCAAUCCUGGCAGAAGACAUUGUCAGGUGGGGAGUUUAGCUGGGGUGGCACAUAUAUUAAAAAAUAAUGCAAGUUUCCUAAUUUGAGCUCAAUGAGAACAUAAAUCUCAUGUGGAACAAAAGGGUAAAAGCUCAUUUGAUUUUGAUUUUCCAUAUGAAUACAAACCGUGAAAGUGUGGCCUAUCGAUCCUUUAGAUUUUCAGAAUUUGAAGUUAGAUGUGUCAGAAAAUCUACCACAGGGAUAACUACCUUGUGGCAACCAAGCGUUCAUACCGAAGUUUCUUUUUUAUCCUUCGAUAUCAGCUCUUACUAUCAUUAUGAAGCAUAAUUAACCAAGUUUUAAAUUGCUCACCCGCAAAUAGGGAAAAUGAACCAGGUUUAGAAUGUCACUAGACAGGUUAGUUUUACCCUACUGAUGAACCACACCGCAAUAUUAAUUCAACUUAGUAUGAGAGGAACCAUUGAUUCACACAGUUGGUCAUCACACUUGGUUGAAAAGCCAGUGGCGCGAAGCUACCAUGUGUCAGAUUAUGACUAAAGGCCUCUAAGUCAGAAUCCAAGCUAGAAGUGGUGCAUGUCACUCUUCGACUGUAUCUCAACCCAUAGUAGGGGUGUCGCUUUGUCAUCCCCAGGGGCCUGUGUCAUUUGCAAACUGUGAUCAUGAAGCAUCUCGAUCAGGGUAGCUUUGAAGUUCAAUUCCAAAUGGUCAUUGAGAAGAAUCCUUUACAGAUGACUUAAAUAUGCAAUGGGUUAUUUUAAGUGGCAGAGUGGCCUUGUGGCCACGAUCCACAUAGAUUAAUCCCUU